rnacentral:tRNA from 1 species
GGAGAAGUACCCAAGAGGCUGAAGGGGUCGCNCUCGAAAUGCGAUAGGUCGUGAAAGCGGCGCGGGAGUUCAAAUCUCCUCUUCUCCUUA